rnacentral:lncRNA from 1 species
CACGAAGUCAGGGGUCCCCUCUCCUGCUGGCGGUGGUGGCACCCACACUGGCCUCAGGGCUCUGCUCACUGUGAAGAACCCGCUUCCUCCUCCCCCUGGGCUGCCCUGGAUGUGUAGGAACUGUUUACAAACUGCCCCAGCUUUGCAAAGGAUGCGUCUUGAGCCAGCCAUCAGCCGCUGUGUCCCACUGGGGGGCUCGGAGUGUUUCAUGCAGAGCUGAAGCAGGUUUUGCCCUUCGGUUCACCAGAGAAGUUGGUGAAGGGCAGCAUCCCCUGCCCCGAGCUGCAGGAGAUUUUGGGAUCCCGCAAAGUCCCUCCGAGCCCUCUUCACAGGAACACAGUGGCGAUGCUUCUGCAGAGCGCUCCCGCCGUCGGCUCUGUCAGGCAGGAGCUUUGUAGCAUUAAAAACCCCGAAUAUCUAUUUUUUAACUCCAUUCCAGUGCAUAGAGGUGUAAGUGCAGUUGGGAGAAUGGCGUGCCACUUCUGGUUUUCAUAUGGUGCUGUUGUGAGUGUGUCUAAUAAAUUAACACUAUUUUCUUGAAAAAAAAAAAAAAAAAGAGAGAGAAAAAGAAAAACAUAAUUGCUGGAAAAAAGCAGAUGUCCUCGCCAAGACGGCUCUCCGUGCAAAAGCGCUCAUCGGGCAGCGUGUCUUCCUGCAGCGGAGGCGCGUGGAAGUCAAAAGGAGCCGGCAGAUGGAGGUGCCGCGUCUGGAGAGGGAAUCGCCGAGCUCCGCAGGGGCAAGCGCAGCAAAACCCCAAAUGCGGGGGCAGCGCCCCAAUUUCUUGGGGUUGCCCCAAUUUUUCAGGGAGCAGCUGCUGCAGACCAGCACCCACACCACGGACCCCCUCCCACGGCCCAAAACUCGUGGUGUCAGCUCUGCACAAAGUCCUCCUCCCGCCUCUCUCCUGCAAUCAGGUCAAAAUCCAGCCGGAUUUAAAAAAAAUAAAAAAAUACC